GACGAACGCUGGCGGCGUGCUUAACACAUGCAAGUCGAACGGAAAGGCCCUGCUUUUGUGGGGUGCUCGAGUGGCGAACGGGUGAGUAACACGUGAGUAACCUGCCCUUGACUUUGGGAUAACUUCAGGAAACUGGGGCUAAUACCGGAUAGGAGCUCCUGCUGCAUGGUGGGGGUUGGAAAGUUUCGGCGGUUGGGGAUGGACUCGCGGCUUAUCAGCUUGUUGGUGGGGUAGUGGCUUACCAAGGCUUUGACGGGUAGCCGGCCUGAGAGGGUGACCGGCCACAUUGGGACUGAGAUACGGCCCAGACUCCAACGGGAGGCAGCAGUGGGGAAUAUUGCACAAUGGGCGGAAGCCUGAUGCAGCAACGCCGCGUGCGGGAUGACGGCCUUCGGGUUGUAAACCGCUUUCGCCUGUGACGAAGCGUGAGCGACGGUAAUGGGUAAAGAAGCACCGGCUAACUACGUG
rnacentral:rRNA from 1 species